AUAGUACUCCCUUCGUCUCAAAAUUCUUGUCUUACUUUUUUCUAAAUACGGAUGUAUCAAGUCAUGUUUUAGUAUUAGAUACAUCCGUAUCUAGACAAAUCUAAGACAAGAAUUUUGGGACGGAGGGAGUACUAC
rfam:Triticum aestivum genome assembly, contig: Triticum_aestivum_CS42_TGACv1_scaffold_001438_1AL